GAUGAACGCUGGCGGUGUGCCUAAUACAUGCAAGUCGAGCGAACAGACGAGGAGCUUACUCCUCUGACGUUAGCGGCGGACGGGUGAGUAACACGUGGAUAACCUACCUAUAAGACUGGGAUAACUUCGGGAAACCGGAGCUAAUACCGGAUAACAUGUUGAACCGCAUGGUUCAACAGUGAAAGACGGUCUUGCUGUCACUUAUAGAUGGAUCCGCGUCGCAUUAGCUAGUUGGUAAGGUAACGGCUUACCAAGGCAACGAUGCGUAGCCGACCUGAGAGGGUGAUCGGCCACACUGGAACUGAGACACGGUCCAGACUCCUACGGGAGGCAGCAGUAGGGAAUCUUCCGCAAUGGGCGAAAGCCUGACAGAGCAACGCCGCGUGAGUGAAGAAGGUCUUCGGAUCGUAAAACUGUGUUAUUAGGGAAGAACAAAUGUGUAAGUAACUGUGCACGUCUUGACGGUACCUAAUCAGAAAGCCACGGCUAACUACGUG
rnacentral:rRNA from 1 species